rnacentral:rRNA from 1 species
CCCGCACAAGCGGAGGAACAUGUGGUUUAAUUCGAUGAUACGCGAGGAACCUUACCUGGACUUAAAUGUAGCGUGACCGUACUCGAAAGGGUAUUUCUCUUCGGAGCAGGUUACAAGGUGCUGCAUGGCUGUCGUCAGCUCGUGCCGUGAGGUGUCGGGUUAAGUCCCAUAACGAGCGCAACCCCUAUUGUUAGUUGCUAACAGGUCAAGCUGAGGACUCUAGCGAGACUGCCACCGUAAGGUGAGAGGAAGGUGGGGAUGACGUCAAGUCAGCACGGCCCUUACGUCCAGGGCUACACACGUGUUACAAUGGUCGGUACAGAGAGCAGCUACUUGGUGACAAGAUGCGAAUCUUUUAAAGCCGGUCUUAGUUCGGAUCGAAGUCUGCAACUCGACUUCGUGAAGUUGGAUUCGCUAGUAAUCGCAUAUCAGCCAUGAUGCGGUGAAUACGUUCCCGGGCCUUGUACACACCGCCCGUCAAGCCAUGGAAGCUGGGGGUACCUGAAGUCCGUAACCAUUAAGGAUCGGCCUAGGGUAAAACUGGUAACUGGGGCUAAGUCGU